GCCCCGGUGGUGGAAUGGUAGACACGAAGGACUUAAAAUCCUUUGGCCAUUUGGCUGUGCGGGUUCAAGUCCCGCCCGGGGUAC
rnacentral:tRNA from 1 species